rnacentral:lncRNA from 1 species
AUGCCAGAAACUCUAAGCAGGCACUUGGCACAGUUUUGCGUGAAAGGAGGCACAGCGAGGCCACGACCCGCGCUCCCGGACCUGCGCGGCCUCGGGAGCCGCAAGGGGUCGCGCCAGGCGCGGGGCCGAGCCUGUGCCCGCUCGGUCGCCAUGGCGACGGGCCCGGGCUGUGGGCGCGGAGGGCCGCGCUAUGGGGAGUGCCCCGCGGAAGAGCCGGGCGGUGCGGCAGGCCCGGAGCGAAGGCGCCCGGCAGAGAGCACGCAGAAGCUGCAAGGAGUGCAGUGCGAAUUGACCACAGCCAGUUUUCUUUGUGGAACAGAAGCAAAUAGAAGGUCAUGAGAAAAUUUUAAAGACCCAUAAAGAAGACAAGCCUCAGGAACUGCUGGAAAUGAAUGGGAAUACAGAAGUGCCCCAUUCCUACGACUAUGACCUCAUUGUCAUCGGUGGAGGCUCAGGCGGUCUGGCUGCUGCCAAG